AAAACAACCUGCCCCAACUGCCUCCGCUUCUGCAUAAAGCUCCUCUCCUUGGGUCGCUCGACCUGCCUCCGGUUUUGCCAUAGCUCGCUUGUCCUCUGCUCUUCCCGAAUAAGCCCCCCCUCCCUUUUUUUUUUUUUUUUUUUUUUUUGCUGAUAAAAUAACCUGAUGGAUUCAUUUUUAGGGUUACCGCGGGUACUCUUCACUUGGGCGGAGACAAAAUGAGGCCAAUUAAUCUGCUCACCCCAGGCGUUAACGUAGCCAUUGACCCACGCGUACUGUCAGUUCGUGCCAGGUACCGGACUGUGUAUACGGCGGAGGACAAACGCUCCGAGCCCUUGUGAACUAACGACCCCACGGACGUCACAGGCUUGGAAACACACAGGGGACAACCUCGGGGGCAGAAGACGAGAAAACGACGGCGGAGAGGGACGCGCAGGAGGCUGGCGAGGCCCCAAGCGGGGCGGGGAGGCCCGGCGGGAAGACCAGAGGGCCCCGGGCCCGCGGCCGCAGGUCGAGGCGGCGACUGGCGCCGGGGGUAGGACUCCAGCCCGAGACCGGGCCGGAGGAGGAGGAGGAGGAGGAGGCGCAGGCCCUCGGACUUACCGUCGGGCUCCCUCACUGCCGGCGCCGCCUCGGCGCUCUGCCUCUCGAGCCACUGCACGGCCGCGAACCCGCCUCCCGCGGCGCCCACCGCAGCUCCGGCCACGAAGACGCCCAGAGAGCGCCCGGAGCCUCCGAGGCGGGAAGCAAAACUUUUGGCAGCCAUGCCCGGAGCACCUGCCUUCUGCGGCCGCGCGUGCGCACAGCAGCUCUGGCGCCUGCUAGCCAAUCGCGACCGCGGGACCGAGGCACGCAUGCGCACCCCGGCGUUGCCGGGUCUGGACCGGCCUGGAGACCCGGGAUGCGCAGAGCGCAGGCGCACAGCCUCCCCGCUGAGGGCCUCGGGAGCCCCCUGCUGUCAAGGCUGGAGGCGCGAGUGAAGCCGCCCCCCACCCGCUCCACCCCUGGUUCGCUGGAUCCGGCGACGAGUGGGAGGCGCGGCACUUGCGGGCGCAGUGGUGUGCACAUGCAGUCCUGAGAAGAAAAUACCUUUAGCCCCCCGUGACAGAGCCAUGUUGAACAACGAAGGACAAGCAGACCAUGUUGAAGAGUGACAGCUGAUGACAGGCCGAUGAUGCUCACCAUUUCCCUUCACAGCCACAUCUUCCUUCCUCCUAAGGAUGCUCCACCUAUAGCCCUCACCCUGAGUACCUCACUCAAAGGACUCCUGGGAGGGACCAGUGGUCCCAGGAGAAAACCUGGCUGAUGCCAGCCCCUAAGGACUACGUCCAAGGCCUCCUCUGGACCGUCAUCAAGAGUUCUUUGCAGGACACUGUUAAACCAUGGCCUCUGUUCCCCACUUACCUCCUCCUUCUCUUGAUCAUUCCUGUAUUUCUCUGGCUCAGUGUAUCUUCCCAGUGAUCACGGGUAUUUCCAAACAGAACACAUUCUCUCCCAAAGCCCACCCCACAGCCAGGAGCCUGUGUGGAUAGAACACUAGAAACGAAGGAGCAAGGAUCCUUGGCCACCUCUCUCCUCUGGCUUGACCACUCUCCCAACCUAGAUGCCUAGAUGGGGCAGCCUCUCCCAGUAACAGGCAAAAUGAUGUUCAACCUCUACCAGGCUGCUACAAGAGCUGGAGGGGGAGGGGGGAAGCUAGUUUUCUGAGCUCCCCAGAGGUGGACACAACAUGAAAUCUUUGUGGAAAAGAGCACAGACAGAGGCCCUACAACCCAAUAAACACAAACCAGUUCUCUAAAUGGUUUGCUGCUCCCCAAAGAAUACAUGACAGCACACAGACAAAAGGGUCUGGUGCAAAAGACCCAUCCCAGGCUCCCAGGGGCAUACCCUGGAAAAAGAUCACCCACCUUCUUCUGCCAUCAGCAGCAGGCAGGGAUAUUGCCCAAUGGGUGCAUUUUAUACCACAGCACAAGGGAGAGGCAGCCUGAAGCCCAAAGGACUGGCGCUCCUCAGACUCCCCUCACUGGGCCAGCCCACACAGGAACCAUCUCCAGACACUUCAUUCUGGUGCCAAGACCCAAAAGCUACCAGAGCAGCUGAGCACAAGGUCGGCAAAGAGGGAGCCCAUCCAGAUAAAAGGCCUGUAGGCCAAUAGGAAGGCCAGCCCCAUCUGUACUGCAUCUGGACAAGCAGGUCCCACACCAAUGCCACAGCUCAACCCUCCACAGCCAGGCCAAAAACUUGUUCUCACAAGAAUCAAGCCAGACAAAAAAAUCAUCCAGAGGAAAUCUAAAACCAAAUGGAGAGGCAGGGGUUUAGUGUUCCACGAUGGGCAGGAUGAGGGAUCUGAUCAUUCCUGUGGUGAAUCAGCUACAUCUGUUAGUGGUUUAUUUGUUGCCGAGGUUGAAAAGCAGAUGCUAGAAAAGUAGAGAUGCACUGCCUGAGGUGAAAGCUAAAGAAAUUAGAUAUGGCACUUUUCAAUAAAUAUUUUAAAGCUUUUUAAAGAAAUAAGUGGAAAAGAAAAGCAACUGCUGUAAGGCCUGUUUUGCUGUUAAAAAUUAUUCCGAGGGAAGAAAAAUACCACAGCACAAAAUAAUUUAAAAAAAAAAAAAGGAAAAAAAAGACAACACAGCUUACCCAACAAAAUCUUGUCCCUGUAACCACCUUGGCCAGCUCACAGCUUGACCUUUGAAACAAAAACUGAGCUCUGAGAGGGACACUACUCACCUCUCACAGUACCCUGUGCCCAGACAUGCAGUAAAGGGACGCAGCCAAGGGGCAAGCCCCAGACGCACACAGUGUGCCCAGUGGGGAGCAGGCACCCUCAUACUGUGAUGCCAGGGUGCCGUGAGAACUCUCCACUCUCUCAAAGACUGCCCAGAGUCACAGUGUGGACUCAUGGAGACACUACCGGCCUCCUCCGCCAUCGCUGCUGCUUAAGGAAAUUUACCUCCAGCACGUCUAAGGGCCACCAUCUGGCCAAGUUACAGUGGGGUUACCUGUCAUUCUGAACACUAACCAAUCCAGUUGAGGGAAAGAUCUAAACCUCCAUGUAAGUCAAGAGGAGGCACUCCUGUCCCGUUCUCACCCAGGUCAACCUCUCCCCAUCGCUCACUGCCUCACCUACCCUCAAGAUGAAAGAGAUCCAGUUUUUAAAUAAAAGUCUCAAGAAACCCAGAGGGAAAAGCCUUCAUAAACAAGAAUGAUGAAUGCCCAGACGGCCCAGAAAGCCAAUCUACAGUUGAUGACAAUUAUUUACAAGGGGGCGUUAUCAAACAAAAAUGGUAGCACUCCCUAGAAGACUCAAACUUUUUUUUCUUUUUCUCUAUUUCUUUUAAACUUUCUUGUCAUAAAAGCCAACUUACAUUAAAAUAUACUUACUACGAGACAACACAACUAAUAAAAUAUAUAAUAAAACUUA